UACGAAGGGGGCUAGCGUUGCUCGGAUUGACUGGGCGUAAAGGGCGCGUAGGCGGUUCGUACAGUCAGACGUGAAAUUCCUGGGCUCAACCUGGGGGCUGCGUUUGAUACGUGCGGACUUGAGUGCGGAAGAGGGUCGCGGAAUUCCCGGUGUAGAGGUGAAAUUCGUAGAUAUUCGCAAGAACACCAGUGGCGAAGGCGGCUCACUGGCCCGGUACUGACGCUGAGGCACGAAAGCGUGGGGAGCAAACAGG
rnacentral:rRNA from 1 species